AGAGUUUGAUCCUGGCUCAGGAUGAACGCUAGCGGCAGGCUUAACACAUGCAAGUCGAGGGGCAUCGGGAGGGAAGCUUGCUUUCCUUGCCGGCGACCGGCGCACGGGUGAGUAACACGUAUGCAACCUGCCCUCUUCAGGGGGACAACCUUCCGAAAGGGAGGCUAAUCCCGCGUAUAUCGGUUUCGGGCAUCCGAGAUCGAGGAAAGAUUCAUCGGAAGAGGAUGGGCAUGCGGCGCAUUAGCUAGACGGCGGGGUAACGGCCCACCGUGGCGACGAUGCGUAGGGGUUCUGAGAGGAAGGUCCCCCACACUGGUACUGAGACAUGGACCAGACUCCUACGGGAGGCAGCAGUGAGGAAUAUUGGUCAAUGGGAGAGAUCCUGAACCAGCCAAGCCGCGUGAGGGAAGACGGCCCUAUGGGUUGUAAACCUCUUUUGUCGGAGAACAAAACCCGGGACGAGUCCCGGACUGCGUGUAUCCGAAGAAAAAGCAUCGGCUAACUCCGUGCCAGCAGCCGCGGUAAUACGGAGGAUGCGAGCGUUAUCCGGAUUUAUUGGGUUUAAAGGGUGCGUAGGCGGUCCGUUAAGUCAGCGGUAAAAUUGCGGGGCUCAACCCCGUCGAGCCGUUGAAACUGGCAGACUUGAGUUGGCGAGAAGUACGCGGAAUGCGCGGUGUAGCGGUGAAAUGCAUAGAUAUCGCGCAGAACUCCGAUUGCGAAGGCAGCGUACCGGCGCCAGACUGACGCUGAGGCACGAAAGCGUGGGGAUCGAACAGGAUUAGAUACCCUGGUAGUCCACGCAGUAAACGAUGAAUGCUGGUUGUCCGGGUCGAAUGAGAUCUGGGCGGCGAAGCGAAAGCGAUAAGCAUUCCACCUGGGGAGUACGCCGGCAACGGUGAAACUCAAAGGAAUUGACGGGGGCCCGCACAAGCGGAGGAACAUGUGGUUUAAUUCGAUGAUACGCGAGGAACCUUACCCGGGCUCAAACGGGAGUGGAAUGGACCAGAGACGGUUCAGCCUACGGGCCGCUUCCGAGGUGCUGCAUGGUUGUCGUCAGCUCGUGCCGUGAGGUGUCGGCUUAAGUGCCAUAACGAGCGCAACCCCCGCCGGCAGUUGCUAACGGGCAAUGCCGAGGACUCUGCCGGGACUGCCGCCGCAAGGCGAGAGGAAGGCGGGGAUGACGUCAAAUCAGCACGGCCCUUACGUCCGGGGCGACACACGUGUUACAAUGGGCGGUACAGCGGGAAGCCAGGCGGCGACGCCGAGCGGAACCCGAAAGCCGUUCUCAGUUCGGAUCGGAGUCUGCAACCCGACUCCGUGAAGCUGGAUUCGCUAGUAAUCGCGCAUCAGCCAUGGCGCGGUGAAUACGAUCCCGGGUCUUGUACACACCGCCCGUCAAG
rnacentral:rRNA from 1 species